rnacentral:rRNA from 1 species
AUGAAGGCUCAUGCUGACAAACGAAGAUCAACACGUGUCUUUGAAGUUGGUGAUCUGGUGUAUCUCAAGCUCCAACCAUAUAUUGAAACAUCGGUGGCAAGGCGAGCCAACCACAAGCUUUCCUUCAAGUAUUAUGGGCCAUUUCCUGUCAUCACCAAGAUCAAUGAUGCAGCUUACAAGUUGGAGCUGCCAGCGCACUCUCAAGUGCAUCCAGUGUUCCAGGUUUUCCAACUCCGUCGUUGUCUCCGACCGGGUACGCAUUUUACAACAUCGCUGGCGUCGGAAGAAUGGUGCCCUGUGGAGCAGGUCCUAGUUUGCUGGUCGGAUCAAGUGGCGCUUGCGGACACUUGGGAGGACAAGGUGGCGCUGCAAGCCCGUUUUCCUAGAGCAGAGGCUUGGGGGCAAGCCUCAUCCCAAGGAGGAGGGGAUGUCAGUGCCCCCACUGCAGCCAUCGACAUCGACAAGCAGGACCCAUAG